rnacentral:rRNA from 1 species
AGAGUUUGAUCAUGGCUCAGAAUCAACGCUGGCGGCGUGCCUAACACAUGCAAGUCGAACGAGAAAGUGGAGCAAUCCAUGAGUAAAGUGGCGCACGGGUGAGUAACACGUGACUAACCUACCCUUGAGUGGGGGAUAACCUGGGGAAACCUUGGCUAAUACCGCAUAACACCUACGGGUCAAAGGAGCAAUUCGCUUAAGGAGGGGGUCGCGGCAGAUUAGUUAGUUGGCGGGGUAAUGGCCCACCAAGACAGUGAUCUGUAUCCGGCCUGAGAGGGCGCACGGACACACUGGAACUGAAACACGGUCCAGACUCCUACGGGAGGCAGCAGUGGGGAAUUUUGCGCAAUGGGGGAAACCCUGACGCAGCAACGCCGCGUGGAGGAUGAAGUCCCUUGGGACGUAAACUCCUUUCGACCGGGACGAUUAUGACGGUACCGGAAGAAGAAGCCCCGGCUAACUUCGUGCCAGCAGCCGCGGUAAUACGAGGGGGGCGAGCGUUGUUCGGAAUUAUUGGGCGUAAAGGGUGCGUAGGCGGUUCGGUAAGUUUCGUGUGAAAUCUUCGGGCUCAACUCGAAGCCUGCACGAAAUACUGCCGGGCUUGAGUGUGGGAGAGGUGAGUGGAAUUUCCGGUGUAGCGGUGAAAUGCGUAGAUAUCGGAAGGAACACCUGUGGCGAAAGCGGCUCACUGGACCACAACUGACGCUGAUGCACGAAAGCUAGGGGAGCAAACAGGAUUAGAUACCCCGGUAGUCC